CUCUCUCGUGGCCGGUGGAUUCUCCCCUCGCGGGAUUGAUUCCUCUGAGACAGCGGGGUCUUCAGGGCCGGACGGGAGCGGCGCGUCCACCAUCGACGCGUUGGUGAGCACGGCGGUGGCCGUGGCCGAGCUCGAGCCCGUAGCUUAGAUCCGCAGGAUCCCCUCAAGAGCCUCGCGCCCAUCUCAUCUCAUCUGAUUGUGUCAAGGAAGGGGGCCAUGCCAUGGAGAAGCUGUUGCGGCUCUUCUACCUCCCCUCCCCUGCGUAGAUCAGAUAAGUAAUUUUACCUAUAAGCUUAUUUGCUUUGGAGGCUUAUUGUACUGCUAUAGUUUUCUCCACGGCACGGACUUGAUGCCGGCGACCCUGCCGUUUCCACACCACCUUGAGG